CCCCUUGUAGUUCAACGGUAGAAUGUCUGAUUGUAACUCAGAAGACGCUGGUUCGACUCCGGCUGAGGGGA
rnacentral:tRNA from 1 species